CGGACUGGCCCAGGGAGGUCGGCAACGACCACCCAGGGCCGGAAAGUUCGUCAAACUUGGUCAUUUAGAGGAAGUAAAAGUCGUAACAAGGUCUCCGUAGGUGAACCUGCGGAGGGAUCAUUACCGAGCGAGGGCCUCUCUGGCCCGACCUCUCAACCCCAUGUUGCCCGACACUGUUGCCUCGGGGGCGACCCGGCCCUUCUGGCGCCGGGGCCUCCGGUGGACCGUCAAACACUGCAUCUGUGUGUCCGAGUCAGAUGAUAAAUCAAUCAAAACUUUCAACAACGGAUCUCUUGGUUCUGGCAUCGAUGAAGAACGCAGCGAAAUGCGAUAAGUAAUGUGAAUUGCAGAAUUCAGUGAAUCAUCGAAUCUUUGAACGCAUCUUGCGCUCCUUGGUACUCCGAGGAGCAUGCCUGUUUGAGUGUCGUGAAAUACUCUCAGUUUCAAUCUUUUUGUUUUGAAACUGGAUUUGAAUGCUGUCGUGACACGACUCAUUCUAAAUGUAUUAGCGGUCUGCCCUUGAUCACACAAUGUGAUAAUUCAUUAAAGCAUUGUUAUUGUUCGAGUGGCGACGGCUUCAAACCGUCCGAAAGGACAACGUGAUCUCAUUUGACCUCAAAUCAGGUAGGACUACCCGCUGAACUUAAGCAUAUCAAUAAGCGGAGGAAAAGAAACUAACAAGGAUUCCCCUAGUAACGGCGAGUGAAGAGGGAAAAGCUCAAAUUUGAAAUCUGGCGGUCU
rnacentral:rRNA from 1 species